UAAAGCCAAACUCUAGCCCAACCACACCACUAAACGUACCAAUAACAAACCCCCUACUUCUAUUAAAACUAAAACAUUUUACAAUCUUAGUAUAGGCGAUAGAAAAGACUGUUUGGAGCAAUAGAGAUCCGUACCGUAAGGGAAAGCUGAAAUAAUAGUGAAACCUUAAGCAAUAAACAGCAAAGAUCAACCCUUGUACCUUUUGCAUCAUGAUGUAGCAAGUACGCCCAAGCAAAAUGAACUUAAGCUUGCAGCCCCGAAACCCGUGCGAGCUACUUACAAGCAGCUAUUACGUGAGCGAACCCGUCUCUGUCGCAAAAGAGUGGGAUGACUUGUCAGUAGAGGUGAAAAGCCUACCGAGCCGGGUGAUAGCUGGUUGCCUGUGAAACGAAUCUAAGUUCCCCCUUGACUACACUCCACGGAAAUUUUCCCCAACCUUCUCGUAGUAAGUCAAGAGCAAUUUAAAGGGGUUACAGCCCCUUUAAAAAAGGACACAACCUCACCUAGCGGAUAACACAUUCCAAUCCACCAAAACUGUAGGCCCUAAAGCAGCCACCAACAAAGAGUGCGUCACAGCUCCCCGCUCAAAAAUUCUAAGACAACACGAAUCCCUUACCCCUAACAGGCUAACCUAUGACAAUAGGAGAAUUUAUGCUACAAUGAGUAACUAGGGGCCUUCGCCCCUCUCAAGCGCAAGCUUACAUUGCCAAAUUAUUAACAGAUUUACAAAUACCACAAAUCCAACAAGAUGGGUAUUGACCUACCCUGUUAACCCAACCCAGGAGCGCCCAGCUAGAAAGAUUAAAAUCUGCAAAAGGAACUAGGCAAACCCAAGGCCCGACUGUUUACCAAAAACAUAGCCUUCAGCCAACCAAGUAUUGAAGGUGAUGCCUGCCCAGUGACACCACGUUUAACGGCCGCGGUAUCCUAACCGUGCGAAGGUAGCGCAAUCAAUUGUCCCAUAAAUCGGGACCUGUAUGAAUGGCUAAACGAGGUCUUAACUGUCUCUUGCAGAUAAUCAGUGAAAUUGAUCUCCCUGUGCAAAAGCAGGGAUACACACACAAGACGAGAAGACCCUGUGGAACUUGAAAAUCCGUAGCCAACCCCAACAAAUCUAGACCUACUAGGCUCAUCCCCACAAAGUACUGGCUAACAUUUUUCGGUUGGGGCGACCUUGGAGAAAAAUGAAACCUUCCAAAACAAGACCUUACCUCUUAACCUAGAGCAACCCCUCACCGUGCUAACAGUUACCAGACCCAAUAAAAUUGAACAAUGGACCAAGCUACCCCAGGGAUAACAGCGCAAUCCCCUUCAAGAGCCCAUAUCGACAAGGGGGUUUACGACCUCGAUGUUGGAUCAGGACAUCCUAAUGGUGCAGACGCUAUUAAGGGUUCGUUUGUUCAACGAUUAACAGUCCUACGUGAUCUGAGUUCAGACCGGAGCAAUCCAGGUCGGUUUCUAUCUGUGAGACACCCUCCCCAGUACGAAAGGACCGGGAAAGUGAGGCCAAUACUAAAAGCACGCCUCCCUCCACAAGUAAUGAAACCAACUAAAUUACCAGAAGAACCACCAUCCCGCCCUAGAAAACGGCC
rnacentral:rRNA from 1 species